CCCUUCGGGGUGAGUGGCGCACGGGUGCGUAACGCGUGGGAACCUGCCUUUAGGUUCGGAAUAACUCAGAGAAAUUUGAGCUAAUACCGGAUAAUGUCUUCGGACCAAAGAUUUAUCGCCUUUAGAUGGGCCCGCGUUAGAUUAGAUAGUUGGUGGGGUAACGGCCUACCAAGUCGACGAUCUAUAGCUGGUCUGAGAGGAUGAUCAGCCACACUGGGACUGAGACACGGCCCAGACUCCUACGGGAGGCAGCAGUGGGGAAUAUUGGACAAUGGGCGAAAGCCUGAUCCAGCAAUGCCGCGUGAGUGAUGAAGGCCUUAGGGUUGUAAAGCUCUUUUACCAGGGAUGAUAAUGACAGUACCUGGAGAAUAAGCUCCGGCUAACUCCGUGCCAGCAGCCGCGGUAAUACGGAGGGAGCUAGCGUUGUUCGGAAUUACUGGGCGUAAAGCGCGCGUAGGCGGUUAUCCAAGUCAGGGGUGAAAUCCCGGAGCUCAACUCCGGAACUGCCCUUGAAACUAGGUGACUAGAAUAUUGGAGAGGUAAGUGGAAUUCCGAGUGUAGAGGUGAAAUUCGUAGAUAUUCGGAAGAACACCAGUGGCGAAGGCGACUUACUG
rnacentral:rRNA from 1 species